GGCUGUAGCUCAGUGGUAGAGCGCAACCUUGCCAAGGUUGAUGUCGUCGGUUCGAAUCCGAUCAGCC
rnacentral:tRNA from 1 species